UUGGUCACGUAACAGGACUACCCGCUUGAGCGACUUUUUAUUGAGGUAAUUUGAUUGACACCAUCUGGAACACUCUCCAUGUUUGGCAAACGCAGAUACCACAUUAAGAUUCGGAAAUAUCAAUUUGUUUUGCUCUCUCCGUCAAUAGGCCAUACCUUUAAUACUUUCUUGUCCUCGUGUUGGAUAAUAGAAGAGAGCUUGGACCUGCAUCGCUGCUACAAUCGAUGCAAUUUCCAUUGAACACUAAUUAAUGGCAAUAAAACAAUUAUAUUGAAAUUGUCAUUGUUCAAUUGUGAACUUAGUAUAAAGCAUAAAGUUCAUUUCAGAGGUUUCCUAAGUGGCACACUGUGACGAAUUUGCAAAAUAAUUUCAUUGCCUUCAUAACAUGUCACCUUGAAAUCCUUUGAAGAAAGUAGCAUUUUGCUCAUUAUAGGUUCCACUGGGAAUUCCGCUAUCUUCAAUCCUGCAUCUGUUAGUCGUCCAGAUGUAUCAAUGGCUGUGAAACAUGGGUAAAACCGUAAGCAGUUAGUCAAUAGCAAGUAAAUAUAUACAUAGUAAAGAAACUAACGACUAUUAGUAAAAAAAAACGAAUGUCUUGUAAGAACGCUUCAAGCAUUACUU